AUUCCAGCUCCAAUAGCGUAUAUUAAAGUUGUUGCUGUUAAAAAGCUCGUAGUUGAAUUUCUGUACAGUCCCGGUUCUGGCUUCGGUCAAGCCGUGGAUUGUGCAUCCGUUUGCAAAUCUAGCUCGGCCUUCACUGGUCGACUAGGGGAGUAAGCCCUUUACUUUGAAGAAAUUAGAGUGUUUCAGGCAGGCAAUGGCUCGAAUACAUUAGCAUGGAAUAAUGAAUAGGACUUUUGUCCAUUUGGUUGGUUAUUGGACAUGAGUAAUGAUUAAAAGGGACAGUUGGGGGCAUUAGUAUUUAAUAGUCAGAGGUGAAAUUCUUGGAUUUAUUAAAGACUAACUUAUGCGAAAGCAUUUGCCGAGGAUGUUUUCAUUA
rnacentral:rRNA from 1 species